GAGCAAGCCAAUUUAAGCCUUGUCCUCGACAAGCCAAUUCAAGCCUUGCCCUCGAGCAAGCCAAUUUAAGCCUUGCCCUCGAGCAAGCCAAUUUAAGCCUUGCCCCCGAGCAAGCCCCUUCAAGCCUUGUCUUUGGCAAGCCAAUUUAAGCCUUGCCCCAGGCAAGCACAUCAAAAAACCUUGCCUCAAGCAAGCACCAAAGCCUUGCUUGCCCUACGCAAGCACAAAAGGGCUUGAUCAUAUGCUCAAGUAUAAACCGUUAAAGUGUCGCCCGGGGACAUACAAAAAUCCCACAUUAUUUUGGACAGUCCUCGAGGAUGUCACAUUACAACUUUUUGAAGUUAGUGUGCUCGAGGAUUACAGUCCUCGAGCAUGUCACAUUACAACUUUUUGAAGUUAGUAUGCUCGAGGAUUACAGUCCUCGAGCAUGUCACAUUACAACUUUUUGAAGUUAGUGUGCUCGAGGAUUACAGUCCUCGAGGAUGUCACAUUACAACUUUUUUGAAGUUAGUGUGCUCGAGGAUUACAGUCCUCGAGGAUGUCACAUUACAACUUUUUUGAAGUUAGUGUGCUCGAGGAUUACAGUCCUCGAGGAUGUCAC
rnacentral:lncRNA from 1 species